rnacentral:lncRNA from 1 species
ACAUGUGUGGCCGAAAUACUGUGGAAGUGUUUCCGUUUCCGGUUUCCACAAUUUUUAAGGAAUUAUUGUGGAAAGGCUUUCCACAAUCUUUCACAAAGUUAGAAGGGUUUCCACAAUUUUCCGCAGAAUAUAGAACACCCUGCAUAUCUCAAUUCUUCCAUCUAAUCUUGUAUCUAAAAUUCUAAAUACAUUUUUAUUGCGUUACCACUAAUACUUGCGUUCGGUACAAGUCAACAACCCUCUUCGUUCCAAAUUCCCCACCAAACAAACAAACAAACAAAAAAAAAAAAAAAAAAAAAAAAAAGUCAUCACUUUUUGUGGAAGGGGUCACGAAAUUGUGGAAAUUUUUUUCAAUUUUUUUGUGGAAGAGGAAAAGCUUAUCGCGCGAAAUUGUGGAGGCAUAGUAAAAUGUGCACCCCUGAUUUCCUCUCACUUCUCUACAAGACUUCCAAUUACUUCUCAGAUUAACAUAAAGAUUUAUUUCAUUUGACUGUCGACAGGCUCCAAAGUCAAUGAAUCAAUAGUUGUAGCUCUGGACCUGACUCAUCUGUAUCUUGCCUCCCUGAGGCUCUAUGAAUGAAAUGUCUACAGGCCCUGCACAUGACAGAGGCAGCCAUGAAGUUGUGCAGAGCUCUCUAGGCAGAUUGUGGCAUCUGAAAUUGAACAUCGUGGACAAAAAGACAAAUUCACCUGUGAUAUCUGUGAUAAAAGAUUUACCCGCAAAGACUCAGUUAAUCGCCAUCAGUUGGUUCACUAUCAGAAAUACGUUCUAGAUUUGAAGAACCUGAAAGUUCCAACAGAGUAUUUUAAAAGUGAUAAAAACAUUAUUUCACCUUUCGCAACACAACUUUAUUUUCUGGAUUAGAAAGUCAGGUAAAGAACACUAGACCUUUUUAACAAUGUGUUCCGUCUCUUAUUUCUCAAAAUUGUUCUUAGAACUGUAGAACCCAACAUUUAGAGAAUCAAGCCUCAUCCUGUAAGUCGUUUUAACAGCAAUCCCGGCUUUUUUGACAAUUUAGAAAGGAAGCUCUUUCUCUAACAAAAUAUAUUAGGUUCCUCUAUUCUCAGAAUAUGUCCAUUGAGGUGAUUUUAUAACUCUUUUUAGAACGAUUCGAUAAUCUAACAAUUACUUGACAAUUUUGAAUUGUAAAACGUUUUCCCAAAAAUCUUAAUUAUUCUUAUCAUGCUGUAGUAUGUCAGUUAUACAUAGGAUUCGAACAAGGAAUACUUAAAAAUAAUUCUGACAGUAUGUCCUGAAUGAAUAUCUCAAACUGUCUCAUCUUUGAUCCGCAAUUUUACUUGAUAUGUACUUUCUGAGUUAUUCAAAAUAAUCAAAGGUCAAAUCUUAUGAAGUAACAUCUGACGCACCCCCACAUGAUGUGAAUAUUGGAGAUUUUUGGGGGAAAAAUUCUUUUCAGAAAUUAUCAGCUGUAUAGUCGACAAUGUAAUCGUUCUCAAGUGUUUGAAAAAUAUCUACAUAAAUAUGAAGGAGAUUUCAUAUUAAUAUUAAACAAAGAGAAAUUCUACCUGACAGAUUAUU